rnacentral:rRNA from 1 species
UACGUAGGGUGCAAGCGUUAUCCGGAAUUAUUGGGCGUAAAGAGCUCGUAGGCGGUUUGUCGCGUCUGCUGUGAAAACUGGGGGCUCAACCCCCAGCCUGCAGUGGGUACGGGGCAGACUAGAGUUCGGCAGGGGAGACUGGAAUUCCUGGUGUAGCGGUGAAAUGCGCAGAUAUCAGGAGGAACACCGGUGGCGAAGGCGGGUCUCUGGGCAGUAACUGACGCUGAGGAGCGAAAGCGUGGGGGAGCGAACAGG